ACGAAUUUGUACGUGUAAGAAAAUCAUCAAAAUGAAAUUGUUGUUUUUAGUAGCCGUCGUAGCAGCUGUAUGGGUGGUAGAAGCUCAGCAUCAUUGUGACAGCAACCAUGAUUGUGCAGCCGUGAUCCACUGUCAAGCUCACGAAGAACAUCACUGUAAUCUGCAUGAUGGAAAAUGUGAAUGUAGAGACCGCAAUGUUGGAGCCCCACCAGGUACCUGUACUGAUGAUGACUUGUCUAACUGUCAGUGUGAACAUGGCGGAACCCCAGGAUGUCUACACGGUCAUUGUCACUGUAAUCAUCAUUAAAAAUAAACUCUAUAAACGGUCUGGAAACAAGUCCUUUUAAUAUUGA